CGGUUGGGAGGUGAGAAUACAUUUAUUAGGCAGCCCUCUGGAACAUCCUCAGCACUCCAUACUGGCAGAGUCCCCUGAAGACGGCCCAAGAAAGGAAGUUGAAAGACAACUGAGAAUGGACACAGCAACAAUGGCAAGCGGGCAGCUGCCUUUCACGGAAAGAAGCCAUGAGCCUUGGACCAACUCUCUGAAGCCCCAGAAAUGCCAUCCCAU
rnacentral:lncRNA from 1 species